AUUGAACGCUGGCGGCAGGCCUAACACAUGCAAGUCGAGCGGAUGACGGGAGCUUGCUCCUUGAUUCAGCGGCGGACGGGUGAGUAAUGCCUAGGAAUCUGCCUGGUAGUGGGGGACAACGCUUCGAAAGGAACGCUAAUACCGCAUACGUCCUACGGGAGAAAGCAGGGGACCUUUGGGCCUUGCGCUAUCAGAUGAGCCUAGGUCGGAUUAGCUAGUUGGUGAGGUAAUGGCUCACCAAGGCGACGAUCCGUAACUGGUCUGAGAGGAUGAUCAGUCACACUGGAACUGAGACACGGUCCAGACUCCUACGGGAGGCAGCAGUGGGGAAUAUUGGACAAUGGGCGAAAGCCUGAUCCAGCCAUGCCGCGUGUGUGAAGAAGGUCUUCGGAUUGUAAAGCACUUUAAGUUGGGAGGAAGGGCAGUAAGUUAAUACCUUGCUGUUUUGACGUUACCGACAGAAUAAGCACCGGCUAACUCUGUGCCAGCAGCCGCCGUAAAAC
rnacentral:rRNA from 1 species